GUGGGGGCAAAGUUUCAGUGCAUUCCGUUGAUGUAGACGGCGUGAAAACGGAAACAAGAAGUAUGCCGGCUCACUGUGCUGCAUACAGUUACACACUGCGUCGUACGAUUGAGACAAGGAAACUUGGAAUGACUUUUCAUAGGUUUCCCAGAGACUGUGGGUUGAGGAGGAAUUGGAAGUUUGUCGGCUUAGACCUGGUGUCAUUCCAUCAGUGUUAAACUUCCCGGCUCAUCUUGGAAGAGCACGUGCCAGAAAGACCACGACCAAGCAGCCUUGAGAUCUUAGGCAGCGUCUCCCUCAGGUCCCUCUCUAUCUCCCCACACAUCCACCAACCACUGGAACACAUCUCCAAAGUUCUGCUGGGCCAGCUCAGCUUCCCCUCAGAAGAAGUGCUGCCACCUGCCAGAUGAAGGAGCCUUUUGAGAGGCAGCUGGCAUCGUGAUUGGACUGUUCUUUGGUCUGUUCCAAUCCAGCUUCAGCUCCAGAGACGGCAGGCGGGACGAGUCAACGGAGGCCGGGUGGACGAAGGCAUGCAGCUGAGUACAAUCCAGAAAACAACAGAAGAGGAGUGCAGGGCCAGAACAAGCAGAGUAGCAUCGUAUGUCUCUUAGAAAACAUCAUAGUAUAGCCUUUGGUAUGAAAAAACGCCAUCAUAUACAUCGUAUAUUGUACAAAUAAGUCAAAGGAAAGAGACAUACAUUGUAAAAUUGUAGUAAUUGUGGGC
ensembl:lncRNA